rnacentral:lncRNA from 1 species
GCGAGGAGGCAAGAACAGUCUGCCUGAAGCACCGCUUCUGAAAACUCUGGGGAUUCAGUUCGGAGGAAAUCAUGUAAUGUGGAGGAGAUGGAGAAAAUGAAGAACAAGCGGGAAGAGAAAAGGACCCAGAACUUGGAGAUAAGAAUAAAGUAAGCUCAGGAAUAUGACGGCAGCCUUCCAAACUAGGAACUUGCCCAGAUGAUUAAAUAAUUUCAGAUUACUAGGAAAUGUGACCCACAUACUGUGACUGACCCUAUUGAAGAGCACAGGAUCUGUGUCUGUGUCAGGAGGCACCCACUGAAUAAACAAGAACUGGCCAAGAAAGAAAUCAAUGUGAUUUCGGUUCCCAACAAGUGUCUCCUCCAGGUGCCUGAACCUAAGUUAAAAGUGGACUUCAGGAAGGACCUGAAGAAACAAGCUUUCUGCUUUGCUUUAGAUGAAACAGCUUCCAAUGUGUCACCUACAGGUUCACAGCAAGGCCACUGAUGUGAAUUUUGAAGGAAGAAAAGCAACAUGAUUUGCCUAUGGACAAACAGGCAGUGGGAAGACACACACAGUGGGUGGAGACCUGUCUGGUAAAAGUCAGAACACAUCUAAAGGAUUCUAAGCAAUGGCUUCCCAGGACGUCUUCCUUCUGAAGAGUCAGUCUCAAUGAUGGAACUUAAACCUGGAAGUUUAUGUGACAUUCCUUGAGAUUUAUAAUGGGAAGGUUUCUGAUCUGCUCAACAAAAAGGCCAAGUUACAUGUGCCAGAAGACAGAAAGCAGCAGGGUGCCAGUCGUGGGACUGCAAUAGUACCUGAUUCCUUGUGCUGAUGAUGUCAUCAAGAUGAUCUACAUGGGCAGUACCUGCAGGACUUCUGGACAAACAUUUGCCCACUCCAAUAUUUCUUGCUCCCAUACUUGAUUCCAGAUUCUUCUUCCACCCAAAGGGAGGUGACAGGACAAAUUCUCUUUGGUGGAUCUGUCAGGGAAUGAAUGAGAGGCAGACACUUCUGGAGUUAACUGGCAGACUAGCCUGGAGGGUAUAGAAAUGAACAAGUCUCUCCUGGCUGUGGUGGAUUUAUCAGGGUGCUGGGACAGAGCGAGGCUCAUACCCCAUUCCCAAUUCGAUGAGAGUUACCUGACACAGGUGCUGAGGAGCUCAUUGAUUGAACUCGAAGACAAGCAUGAUCUCUAUGAUCUCACCAGGCAUAAGCUUAAACACUCUGAGAUAUGCAGACAGAGUCAAGGAGCUGAGUCCCCACAGCAGGCACAGUAGAGAGCAGCCAGCUCAGAUGGAAGUCAGCUCUAAUGGGACUUCUCUGGCAGGCAAUUAAAAGGAAGAGCUGCCUUCCCAGAUGUCCAACUUUUAGUGAAGCCAUGACUCAAGUCAGGGAGCUGAAA